CAUCACUGUUGGUCGCUUCGUGAUCGAGGAAACAUACGUACGUAUCUUCCUUUCAAGCGUUUGACUUUGGCAGAUGAUGGAGGAAAUUAUUUUCGUUAUUUUAUGAUAAAGUUAAAGGAGAAGAAAAAGAAGUGAAAGUAAAUAGCGUAAUUUUUGCCGUUCAGAUUUCUCUUGAACAAAUCGGAGAGUUCGUUUCGCGAAGAAUACUUUGAAACAAACGAUUCAACUUUGCCAACAUCGUGUUUUCCGUAAAAGCGUAUCGUGUAUUUUCGAAACGUUUAAAGAUCGAUAAUCAAAUUUGAGCAAGAAUGUACGAGAGCUUGGGGAAAUGUUCGAUUAUAAAUCGGUGAUUUACAUGGUACAUGCCAGCACGCAGACUCAAACAAUUAUAUAAUAAUCGUAUCUUAUCUACAUGUUAAAAGAAAAAUUUACUGGAAGAGAACUUGUGUAAAAAAACAUGCAAACUCGUUCUCUCGCUAACAUAUGUAUAUGUAAUAAAUAUUUUAUCGCCGUAUUGCAAAGUGAAUCAUUAUUUACGUAGGAGGAUUAUAAUCGACAUUGUAUAAUUAAUGAAAAUCGUUCAACGAUGUAUGUAAAUUUGUCAUGUAAAUGAAAAUAAAUUACAAACUUAUUUUGUUACUCUCGAUCAAGUAUCAUGACAAAUAAAAUACGUCCACUCGUGUAUUAUAAUUCACAA
rnacentral:lncRNA from 1 species